rnacentral:rRNA from 1 species
UACGUAGGGGGCGAGCGUUGUCCGGAAUCAUUGGGCGUAAAGCGCGUGUAGGCGGUUCGGUAAGUCCGCUGGGAAAGUCGGGGGCUCAACCCUCGAAAGCCGGUGGAUACUGUCGGGCUUGAGUACGGAAGAGGCGAGUGGAAUUCCUGGUGUAGCGGUGAAAUGCGCAGAUAUCAGGAGGAACACCAAUUGCGAAGGCAGCUCGCUGGGACGUUACUGACGCUGAGACGCGAAAGCGUGGGGAGCAAACAGG